UUGGAGGGCAAGUCUGGUGCCAGCAGCCGCGGUAAUUCCAGCUCCAAUAGCGUAUAUUAAAGUUGUUGCAGUUAAAAAGCUCGUAGUUGAAUUUCGGGAUCAGUACGCUGGUCGUGCCUUCGGUAUGCACUGGUGUCACUGGUUCCUACCUUCUGAAGAACCGUCAUGCCAUUCAGUUGGUGUGGCGGGCAAUCAGGACUGUUACUUUGAAAAAAUUAGAGUGUUUAAAGCAGGC
rnacentral:rRNA from 1 species